GCAGAGCAUUAUCCUUAAGGAGAAGACCAAUAACAUUAACAUGCCUGUACUAACCAUUAUAAAAUGGAACCCAAUAAUGAAAAACACUCGGAGCUAUUAUCCACAAUACUGGCUCAAAACAAGAACCUAGUUGAACAAAACAAUGCGAUUAAAGCUUUAUUAGAACAAAGCACAAAUAAACUUGAACAAGAAGUAGAAACUCUAAAGACACAAAACGUUAGACAAGCCGAGGAAAAUGCCAAAAUAUACACCCACUUCACAACUGAGUUCUUUCAGUCCAAAAUGACUGUAGAAAACACCAUGAAAGCAGUACAAAUGAAAGGAUCAGUAUUUUCCGUUGAAUAACUAUGCUCACCUGAAGAAGUAUUAGACUUCGAAAGAAGACUGAAGGAUAAUUGCGAACUGAAAAACAAACUGACUCAACAUAUAAAAGCUCAACCUCAUGACGAUAUAAGGAAAUUUAUUCAAGAAAAACUAAAACUAGUUUUCCAGACGGACGAAAUUAUCACACGUUGUUAAUGGAAUAGUGGCAACAGAAAUAUACCCGUAAAAUAUAUGCAUUACAUCAAGCUUAUAAGAGAUGCAGCAAUAUCAUAUCCCGGACACUGCUGCAAGUACGAUAGAAUUUCACAUUAAGAAUUUCUUUAAUUCGGCUAAAGACCGCCAAAACUAACGAAAAAGAAAAGCAGAAUCGAAAAAAUCUCAAUCGGACAAAUCUGAAUCGGAAAAAUCUGUUUUUAUUAUACAGGGACUCAAAAA